rnacentral:rRNA from 1 species
GACGUAGGGCGCGAGCGUUGUCCGGAUUUAUUGGGCGUAAAGAGCUCGUAGGCGGCUUGUCGCGUCGUCCGUGAAAACUUGGGGCUCAACCCCAAGCUUGCGGUCGAUACGGGCAGGCUAGAGUUCGGUAGGGGAGACUGGAAUUCCUGGUGUAGCGGUGAAAUGCGCAGAUAUCAGGAGGAACACCAAUGGCGAAAGCAGCUCUCUGGGACGGUACUGACGCUGAGGAGCGAAAGCGUGGGGAGCGAACAGG